rnacentral:lncRNA from 1 species
UACUCGAGCAAAGGCCGGGACAACAUUACGAGCGACUUUGAACGUCACGCCAGGGGCCCCAGCCUCAUGUGUUUGAUUAUAUAGACGCGGAAAGCGAUUUAAUUCAGGUUAUAGAGAGUUCGCUGGAGUAUCAUGGAGAAUUUAGGAUGCCAGCAUUACAGAGUCCGACUUUUUUCCCCACUGAUCUGGAAAUAACAGUGGCCCCUGGGCUGAGAGACGGGGCCCCUCGACACCACUCAGUCGACAGCGAGGACGACGAUUAUUAUGAUAACCAAACUCUGCCCUUUUAUGAGUCUCACACUCACUUGAAAGAGCGAAAUACGAAUAUAGUUGAGCCAAUAUCGGAGUCGGAAUCUAACGAAACCGACAGACUGAAGUCCCAACUGAAAGAGGCGUAUUAUUUGCUAAUAAACACAAUGCACGACAUCAGUUUCGACGGUCAGGUCGAAGAUAACGGAUUUGUGGAUCAGGCCAGCAGCGCUAGUCAAUCCCACGACAGCGUAAGCACGGAAAGCGACGCGUGUUCGUCCGAAGAACGUAGGAACGAUUCCGAUUCAGCGUUCUUUGCGUUUCUCGGACGAUGUGAGGUGGGACUGACGCAGAGCAGAAGCUUGCAGAAUAUUCGCGACGCGAGUCCCAAACCGACGCUCCAGCGGUCGGUGAGCGAUAGCAAGGUGAAGUACUCGUCAAACCGCGAGGAAGAGCCGCGAGCCGCCGUCGCAUCGGGUCUCGGUGUGCAACAGGCGAACCCUACAGAAACCCUCCCGACGCUUGCUUCCUCGCGCCAAUCCCGCGACGACGCAGCGGUGCCCAAACACCCCGGAGUCACCGUCAACAAGAUGCAAGAGUGGAUGCAGAAAGGUCGCGUGCUUUCGUCCGAGAUGAAGCAGAGGAUCGCAGGUUCCUCGCUGAGAGCCAGUCACGUGAGGAAGCAGACAGCAGCGGUGGAGUUCAUUUCCGGUCCGUCUGUGUGUCUGCGAGACUCCGGCGCACGUCAGGCCUCGUUCAACCACAUCACCGUCUCCAAAAAACGCCAGUGGCUCCAGCAGAGCUGCGCUCGGCCCGUCCUGCAGCCCGAGGACGUCACAGCGCCCCCUGCAGCCGAGGAGGAGCACACACACCCACAAACACACCCUCCAUCGGCCAAAAACUCAUGUCUAACAGACAAAGGUGUGUACAGUUUACACUUAUGAUGCUUUGUUCUCAUAGUAAAUGCUUUCCAGAGUUUUUGUCCACUGGAAGUUGAUCAAAAAGUUUAUUAAUAAUCAGCGUGAACUGUACAUCUGUCCCUUUUUUCUUUUUUGUCAAAUUAAAUAUGAAUACUCCUCGUAUGUGUAAACAUAUCUGGC